UACGAGGGGGGCAAGCGUUGUUCGGAUUUAUUGGGCGUAAAGGGUGCGUAGGCGGUUUGGCAAGUCUUGUGUGAAAUCUUUGGGCUCAACCCAAAGCCUGCACGAGAAACUGCCGGGCUUGAGUAUGGGAGAGGUGAGUGGAAUUUCCGGUGUAGCGGUGAAAUGCGUAGAUAUCGGAAGGAACACCUGUGGCGAAGGCGACUUCCUGGCCUGUUCUUGACGCUGAGGCGCGAAAGCUAGGGGAGCAAACGGG
rnacentral:rRNA from 1 species